AUAUUCUGCAACCCCAACGCUGGUUAUUACGAAUACAUGUACUUUCAAAAUGAGUGGCUCGAUUACUACCUCAAUAACGGUAUCAACACUUUUAUCUGGAACUACCGUGGGUAUGGACGUUCUGAAGGUUACCCUUCCCCUGUGU
rnacentral:ribozyme from 1 species